AGGGACAGGGGGACACCUCUAGAUUAAAGAUUAAGGGGACCCAACCAACACAGAGAAACCAACUAAGGUAGGGACAGAUAGAGGGGGGUACCUACAUUCAGAAGGAAAAUGUUCCAACGCAGAAACAGGUAGGGACAGAUAGAGAAUGAAGAGUGAGGGAAAGAGGGGUAGGUAGAGGCCAGCUAGACUACAGUAGAGCGAGGUAGGUUGGGGCCAGCUAGACUGCAAUAGAGAAGGGUAGGUAGGGGCCAGCUAGACUGCAGUAGAGAAGGGUAGGUAGGGGCCAGCUAGACUACAGGAGAGAGGUAGGUAGGGGCCAGCUAGACUACAGUAGAGAGGGGUAGGUAGGUAGGGGCCAGCUAGACUACAGGAGAGAGGUAGGUAGGGGCCAGCUAGACUACAGUAGAGAGAGGUAGGUAGGGGCCAGGUAGACUACAGUAGAGAGAGGUAGGUAGGGGCCAGGUAGACUGCAGUAGAGAGAGGUAGGUAGGGGCCAGGUAGACUGCAGUAGAGAGAGGUAGGUAGGGGCCAGGUAGACUGCAGUAGAGAGAGGUAGGUAGAGAGGCCAGCUAGACUAUAGUAGAGAGAGGUAGGUAGAGGCCAGCUAGACUACAGUAGAGGUAGGUAGAGGCCAGCUAGACUACAGUAGAGGUAGGUAGAGGCCAGCUAGACUACAGUAGAGGUAGGUAGAGGCCAGCUAGACUACAGUAGAGGUAGGUAGAGGCCAGCUAGACUACAGAAGAGGGAAAGAGACUUAACAGAUUUCAAUCAGACUAGAAAAAAAAUCCACCACACAGAGAGCCAUAGACCGAGAGACUGACAGACACUCCCACAGUAAGACACACACACUUGCAAUACCUAGAGCUUUGUGUAGAUGGCGCUGUUACACUAGUCAGACUCCGACACUACCAGUAAGGGAUUAACAGUCAGUGGAGGGACAGACAGCGUGUUGGGGACAGACAGCGUGUUGGGGACAGACAGGUAGGUGUCUAGCCUCUGUUUAUUUCUGGGAGAGAGCUGUUUUUUUCCGGGGUAAAGGAUCUUCUAUAUGAAUUAAUAUUCCUCCUGUUGUUACUCGAUCACUGGUUCACUGCUGAUCUCUCCUCCACCAAGCAUGUUUUGGUUUCUGUCCUUUUCCCUAAGGAAUGCUUUCUUCCAUAUAAAUAUCAUGAGAUAAUUCUCAUGUUCUCGUCUAGAUAGACCGGGAUAACUAACCUCUUGGUUCAUACGAGUCAUCAUUAUAAGAGGGAGAGAAAUAGGGCUUAAAUAAUACCUGUUAUUCUUAGGUAAAGUUAGGAAACUACAGAUCACAGCCUCUCGCCUCUAGUUGUACCUGUUUGUGUGUCGUGUCUGAGUUUGUUUACCUAUUUGUUUACCAUACGUGACACUGUUGAUUGUUUUAAUAAGGUAACGAUUUAACACUUGACUCCUCCCACCCUGUUGUCCUCCACCUGUAAACUGUGACCAACUGUGUGUGUGUGUUGCCAUAGUGAUAUCUUGAGGAAAGAGAUUAAACCCAGAGUUGUUUAUCCUGAUAACGUGUUACAAGACGUCCAAAUUUUGUUGCUUUUUGUUUAUUAUUUUUUUAAUUUGCUGCUACUGUUUUUUUAGUUUCCAUGGUGAGCUUAAAUGAACACAAACAACACAUUUGUUUAUUUUUAGUUUUGUGGUUUUGCACUUUUAAUUUUUAAUUUUUGUAUUAAGGAUUUUUUUAAACUUCCCUCAUAAAGGACAUCUGAAUUUUACCGUCCGUGUUCUAUUGUGUCUUACUUACUGGGAAAACAGAAGCUCUAUUGUCUCUUACUUACUGGGAAAACAGAAGCUCUAUUGUGUCUUACUUACUGGGAAAACAGAAGCUCUAUUGUGUCUUACUGGGAAAACAGAAGCUCUAUUGUCUCUUACUUACUGGGAAAACAGAAGCUCUAUUGUGUCUUACUUACUGGGAAAACAAAAGCUCUAUUGUCUUACUUACUGGGAAAACAGAAGCUCUAUUGUCUCUUACUUACUGGGAAAACAGAAGCUCUAUUGUCUCUUACUGGGAAAACAAAAGUAGGAAUAUGAAAAUGGCAAAUAAAAAGUUAGUGAAACUGCGAGUAAUCCGCACUUUUACAGCGACUGACUGUGUACGUUUGUAUUUUCUAGGGAGAAGAGGUUGUAGCUGGAACUAGCCUACUGUGUGUGUGUGUGAGAGAAUAGUGUUGUUAUCCUUUUAACUUGUCUUUACUUUGUUCCAAGAUAAGAGCACAAUGUCCCUCCAACAGGACAGCGGAGCGAGGACUCAUACAGACAGACGGCAACAUCCUCCGUCCCAAAUGCCACUCUAUUCCCUAUAUAUAUAUUCCUCAUAGGGCUCUGGUCAAAAGUAGUGCAUUUUAAAGGGAAUGUUGCCGUUUUGUAUGCAGGCACAGACACCAUAGAGUUAGAGGAUGCACAUGAACAGAAACCGUUAUUGAACAUGUGCCCUCUAGCCAACUUUAUGUACAGUAUAGACAGCUGUGAGGUUGUCAGCAGUUUGAGGCCAGGAUUCAAUCCGAUCGGCCCAGCACCUUUUUAAAGACCAUGCUCCCACGUUCGUGGAGACCACAUUCACGGUAAACGCUGCUUAUGUCAGCUCAAUUGGAAAUGACCUUUAAAUGUCAUGAGGCAGAUCUAAUGUCAGCUCAAUUGGAAAUGACCUUUAAAUGUCAUGAGGCAGAUCUAAUGUCAGCUCAAUUGGAAAUUACCUUUAAAUGUCAUGAGGCAGAUCUAAUGUCAGCUCAAUUGGAAAUGACCUUUAAAUGUCAUGAGGCAGAUCUAAUGUCAGCUCAAUUGGAAAUGACCUUUAAAUGUCAUGAGGCAGAUCUAAUGUCAGCUCAAUUGGAAAUGACAUUUAAAUGUCAUGAGGCAGAUCUAAUGUCAGCUCAAUUGGAAAUGACAUUUAAAUGUCAUGAGGCAGAUCUAAUGUCAGCUCAAUUGGAAAUGACCUUUAAAUGUCAUGAGGCAGAUCUAAUGUCAGCUCAAUUGGAAAUGACCUUUAAAUGUCAUGAGGCAGAUCUAAUGUCAGCUCAAUUGGAAAUGACCUUUAAAUGUCAUGAGGCAGAUCUAAUGAGGAUUUGAAUGAAUCCCAGCCUUAGUGUCAUUAAAGGGGACGUUCAGUAUUUUGGACUUUGGCUUUUAAAGUUAGCUGAAGUUUUUAAUGGCUGUUUUAAAAAGAAAUCGAACCAGGGACUUCAGUUUCUCCUGAACCAUUGAACACUUUCAGGGUGAGGAACAAUCUAACAUUAAGUUGUAAAAUCCUGAACUUCCCCUUUAAUAUCCAUAUUAUCUCAGCUUCAGUGAAUUUGGACACAUUUUGCACAGAUGUAUAGAUGACUGACUGACCAGGACUGUGAUCAUAGAAGCGAUAAACUAAUCAAUGUACCAUUCAACAAAGACAAUCUACAUCUCCCCCAUUCUGCUAUCUCUAUUUCUAUCAUUUUAGAUUUUAGCUUUUUGUAUCCAUUUAAAUUUAUUUAGAUGUUUUUUUGUCAGGUUUCAAUGUUCUGUAGUAGAUCGUUUUGGACUCGUUAUGAUAUUGUGAUGACUUGAUUGCAUUUAUUAAUGAACCAAUUAAGUGUCUUUAGUAAAUGAGGGCUCUAACUUAUUUACUAACUUAUAGAACUUAAGGCUUAUUGAGGGAAGGCUGAGG
ensembl:lncRNA